rnacentral:rRNA from 1 species
UCGUUAGAGUUUGAUCAUGGCUCAGAUUGAACGCUGGCGGCAGGCCUAACACAUGCAAGUCGGACGGUAGCACAGAGGAGCUUGCUCCUCGGGUGACGAGUGGCGGACGGGUGAGUAAUGUCUGGGGAUCUGCCCGAUAGAGGGGGAUAACCACUGGAAACGGUGGCUAAUACCGCAUAACGUCGCAAGACCAAAGAGGGGGACCUUCGGGCCUCUCACUAUCAGAUGAACCCAGAUGGGAUUAGCUAGUAGGCGGGGUAACGGCCCACCUAGGCGACGAUCCCUAGCUGGUCUGAGAGGAUGACCAGCCACACUGGAACUGAGACACGGUCCAGACUCCUACGGGAGGCAGCAGUGGGGAAUAUUGCACAAUGGGCGCAAGCCUGAUGCAGCCAUGCCGCGUGUA